rnacentral:rRNA from 1 species
GAUGAACGCUAGCGGCAGGCUUAACACAUGCAAGUCGAGGGGCAACACGGGUAGCAAUACCUGGUGGCGACCGGCGCAAGGGUGCGUAACGCGUGAGCAACAUGCCCUAUACAGGGGGAUAAUCCAGGGAAACUUGGUCUAAUAUCCCAUAGUAUUUAGAGGUGGCAUCACCACUAAAUUAAAGCUUCGGUGGUAUAGGAUUGGCUCGCGUGACAUUAGCUUGAUGGUGGGGUAACGGCUCACCAUGGCGAUGAUGUCUAGGGGUUCUGAGAGGAAGACCCCCCACACUGGGACUGAGACACGGCCCAGACUCCUACGGGAGGCAGCAGUGAGGAAUAUUGGACAAUGGAUGGAAAUCUGAUCCAGCCAUGCCGCGUGCAGGAAGACGGCCCUAUGGGUUGUAAACUGCUUUUAUAUGGGAGCAAUAAGGUUUACGCGUAGACCGAUGAGAGUACCAUAUGAAUAAGCAUCGGCUAACUCCG